rnacentral:rRNA from 1 species
CAGUAGCCGCGGGAAUACGAAGGGGGCUAGCGUUGCUCGGAAUGACUGGGCGUAAAGGGCGCGUAGGCGGAUGGCACAGUCAGAUGUGAAAUUCCCGGGCUUAACCUGGGGGCUGCAUUUGAUACGUGUUGUCUAGAGUGAGGAAGAGGGUCGUGGAAUUCCCAGUGUAGAGGUGAAAUUCGUAGAUAUUGGGAAGAACACCGGUGGCGAAGGCGGCGACCUGGUCCUUUACUGACGCUGAGGCGCGAAAGCGUGAGGAGCAAACAGGAUUAGAUACCCGCGUAGUCCCUGUCUCUUAUAC